rnacentral:rRNA from 1 species
UGCCAGACUCCUACGGGAGGCAGCAGUCGGGAAUAUUGCGCAAUGGAGGAAGCUCUGACGCAGUGACGCCGCGUAUAGGAAGAAGGUUUUCGGAUUGUAAACUAUUGUCAUCAGGGAAGAUAAAAGACAGUACCUGAGGAGGAAGCUCCGGCUAACUAUGUGCCAGCAGCCGCGGUAAUACAUAGGGAGCAAGCGUUAUCCGGAUUUAUUGGGUGUAAAGGGUGCGUAGACGGGAAAGCAAGUUAGUUGUGAAAUCCCUCGGCUUAACUGAGGAACUGCAACUAAAACUGUUUUUCUUGAGUGUCGGAGAGGAAAGUGGAACUCCUAGUGUAGCGGUGAAAUGCGUAGAUAUUAGGAGGAACACCAGUGGCGAAGGCGACUUUCUGGACGAUAACUGACGUUGAGGCACGAAAGUGUGGGGAGCAAACAGGAUUAGAUACCCCAGUA